AACGAACGCUGGCGGCAGGCUUAACACAUGCAAGUCGAGCGCCCCGCAAGGGGAGCGGCAGACGGGUGAGUAACGCGUGGGAAUCUACCCAUCUCUACGGAAUAACGCAUGGAAACGUGUGCUAAUACCGUAUACGUCCUUCGGGAGAAAGAUUUAUCGGAGAUGGAUGAGCCCGCGUUGGAUUAGCUAGUUGGUGGGGUAAAGGCCUACCAAGGCGACGAUCCAUAGCUGGUCUGAGAGGAUGAUCAGCCACACUGGGACUGAGACACGGCCCAGACUCCGACGGGAGGCGGCAGUGGGGAAUAUUGGACAAUGGGCGCAAGCCUGAUCCAGCCAUGCCGCGUGGGUGAUGAAGGCCCUAGGGUUGUAAAGCUCUUUCACCGGUGAAGAUAAUGACGGUAACCGGAGAAGAAGCCCCGGCUAACUUCGUGCCAGCCGCCGCCGUAACAC
rnacentral:rRNA from 1 species